GAGCUUGUUAGCAGAUUCCUAAAGUUACCAUUGUAUCUGAUUGUAUUCACAGUAGGGAUGGGCGAUAUGGACUUAAAACUAUAUCACAAUAUUUUCUUGUAUUUAUUGCGAUAACGAUAUCAGUGACGAUAUAAAUAUAGUACCAUGCACCACUGUUUUUAGCUACGAGUGAUAGCUGUGAUCUUGAGAGCCUCAGAAACACAAACAUUGAUCCAAAAGUAAAAUUGAUUUUCUGUAACCAAACCAGUUCCAGAUUUUAGAGGUAGCUCCUUGUUUAGCAAUGAACUCCACCUUCCCCCUACUUGUUUUCGCUCUGCAUGUGAGCUGUGAAUGGGUUGCACACUAUCGCACACCGAAAUAUGUCAUCAACUAGGCUUUAUUAUUAUUAUCGUGGGAAGAUAUUCUUAUUGUGGGGAAAAUUUCUACCACUAUAUUGCAAACGAUAGGAUAUCACUCAUCCUUAAUUCACAGACCAGAGCUAUGUCAUCAUUUUUAUUUAUAACCCAAAAACGCUUACAGUCUGUAUAAUCCAUACAUACAGGGCUGAACGCCAGUAUUUACAGUAUCAGUCAUAUUGGUGCUCCUGACUUGUUGUAGCUGUAGUAUCCCAAGCACAAGCUUGGGACACCUGAGACUUAUAUUACAUCUUGUAAAAAGGUGUAUAAUAGAUCUCCUUUAAAUAAACCUAUUACAAAGUCAAGGUUAAAGAGUGCAAGUGAUAAUAGUCUGCUUAUACACAGGUGUGAAACUAAACUCCCCCAUAAACAGUGUCAUAUGUUUACAAAGUCUAGCUAGACAGACAUAUAUUCAGAAAUAUAUGUCCUUAUUAUAGAUACAGUGUAUCCCCCAUCAUAACCUGUUUAUAUUUAUGUGUCUCCAGCAGACUGAUGAGUUUAGAGGAGCAUGAACGCUCCUGUAAAACCUUCCUAGAGGCCAUGCACAGAGUCAAAGGGACGACAGGACGCAGAGGAACAAGGAAGAGGAGACAUGUGAGCACACCAGCCAUGAAACUGUCGACAAACUGGAGUAACAUGGCGCAACCUGUUUUUUUUUGUUGUUGUUUUGUUUUUCUAGUUAUAUCCAUGUCCUACAGUUAAACUAGAGCUAAAGCACGAGUCUCAAACCUGUAGCGAACUGUAAGCUCUUCACUACUUCAAUCUCCACGCUAAUUCUUUCACCUCCUGUGCUUAGCGGAUACGGUGUAACUUCUACAGAGGAGGGUGAGCCGCUGUGAGUAAGGAGUGGAUAAACCUGAAUGAGUCUCGCUGGAAGUCCCUGUGCGACAUUAAACCGCAAGAUCAAGCUGAUGACUCACAGCCAGAUAGCUCAUAUAUCCCAGAAACAAAUAUAACACAGAAACCUCCUCCAAACGCGCACCUCACCUGCCCGACUGCUUGUCUCCAUACCCACUGUGUCUCCACCCACUGGCCUAGCGUCAGACAUUCCUCUUCCUGUUACACCCUCACUUCUGUCAUUAUCUACCACCUAUGCACAUCCCUCAGGCAACACUAUCAAGUCAAAAUAUGCCCCUUCAGCCACUGGGUCAAAAGGAGCCUGCAGCACAGGGGACUUGAGGCACAUCUUGGGGGAUACCCUGGACGGGGUAUCAAUCCAUCACAGGGCACAAUCGCACACACAUUCACACACUAGGGACAAUUUAGAGAUGCCUGUCAGCCUAUAACGCAUGUCUUUGGACUGGGGGAGGAAACCGGAGGAAACCCCCGAAGCAUGGGGAGAACAUGCAAACUCUGAGCACGCAGGGCAGGGGCAGAAAUCAAACCCCCAACCCCGGAGGUUCAAGGCUAACGUGCUAACCACUAAGCCACAGUGCCCCCCGAAACAAAAUAUAAGCUUGUAAAAAGUAAUUGUCAUUUGUGUAUAAAAAAAAUGAUAUUUUCUUGAUAUUUUCUGAAUCCAUGAUGUUAUUAUAAAAUCCACUGGUUAUUGAGCUAAUUAUAGCAUGUCAGUUAAUUGUAUAGUUGUUAAACUCAUUCAAAUAUUAAUUAAUUUGUUUAAAGUCGAUUUUGAAAGGUGGAGUACUUACUGGUGUCCUUGUCAAAUCAAAAUGCUCUGUCAUGCCUUGCUCUCAGUUGAGAACUAACACACUGUUGCCAUUCAGAGAGGCAUAAUAAGGCAUGUAAUAUAGGCUUCAUACAGACUCUGUAGCCCAAGAAGUGUUCUUUUCAUCACCUUCCCAAUGUCCUACAAAACACAUCAGAAUGAUCCACUGCAGUGAGCAAACUUUAUAUCGCUAGAGAAAAUAUAAAAUGGUGUACAGUUAAAAUAUAGCCAUAAUCUAAAUACUUUUGUAAUAUUUCUCCUUAAAGAGAAAUGAUUUUCAUUCACAUCUAUAAUACUAUUGUGGCUUACAAUUAAUGGGAUUAAUUGUAGUUUAUUAACUUAAUGGGAUCCAUUUAGGUUUAAGGUGGUUGGGAAAAUGCCUUCAGAUCCCAGUUGACUUUUAUUAUUUGCUGAUGUGAGAAUAUAUAAACAGAUCACUAACAAGACAGUGGGCUGAGUAGUAGGGCAUCAUGAUGUAGGCCAGAGGAUCUGACUGAACCACACAUUCUGCACAGUUAGAUUUUUUAAAUCUACCUAAAAACUUCAAUUCAUCCUUUAAAAUUACAGCAAUAUUUGUAUAUUAAGUGUAUAUAUUAGAUGGUAAUUGUGUUGUGUUGUAAAUGUAUAUGGCGAAUGAAAUUAUUCUGAUUCUUUAUCUGUGAUACAUAGUCUUGUAGGCAUUACAGUUAAAUGUAAUCUUUCGACAGUGACUCACAAUUGAGCCAUUGAAGGCUGAACAACAGCUCAACAAUGCCAGCUUGGCAGUACCAACCUUCCGAUCAUUAACCCAGAGCCUUAACUGCUGAGUCACAACCACAGAGUGACACUUUACACUUGCUGCCACAGGCUGCCUGUCACAAUGUCUGCAUCAUGUUCAGAUCUGAUAUUAAAACCUCUGGAUCUUAAAAUGUCUAUUUGACAUCUGGCAACAGCAGGGGAGCUGAAGCAAGGAACACAAAACAAAACAAAAAUUGAGCUGCAAGAAGAGAACACCUGCUGAAGAGCAGGACUAGUAGAUGCAUGACAUAGGAAGUGCGGAUUCUGAGCUUUGUGAUACUGCAUAGUCUGCUUAAUAAUCUUCACUUCUGACUUUUCAUCUACAGAGUAGCCCUGGCGCACACACACACACACACACACACACACACACACACACACACACACACACACACACACACACAAAAGAAAAUAACCAGUUGAGAUUUUCAGCUCCAAUCAUGAAGAGCCACAACCUUGCACAGUCUUAUGUUUUUAUGUUCCCAUCAUAACAAAUGUAACCACUGAAAGGUUUGGUUAUUAAGUGUUAAGCCACUAGACCUGGUGAGAGACUUAAAGUUGAGAACCUCUGAUCCAAAAUAAACCCAUCCAGACAAUUCUAAGACACAGUUCAACAAUGUUGUUGCAUCCAAAAUUGGGCUAGCAAAAGCCAAUAAGAAGGUGGAUGUGAUGACAUCAGCCAAAAAUUUUAACAUUCUCAUCAGUACAAAACACUGAUCUCUAAGUGAUCGGCUUCCCCACAAUUAAUAAUUAGUGACACUUCCUCUAGACAGAAGAGCAGCACAGGGCUUCUUACUGUAAAGUCUAACAAAAACGGAGAACAUUACACCAUCCUACAUGAGAUCAUUUAAAGGCUUUUUAUUUUUACAUUGUCAGUUUUGUGAAGGUAGAUAGACUGGCCUCUUCAAUUCAGACCGCAAGUUUCCAAUAGAGUUCAAAUCUGUGCCCUGUAUCAACUUUGUGUCCUGCAACCAUUUAGUGCAUUGAUUGUAUUUGUAUUUAGGGUAAAGGGAAAAAAGCCCCUGGCAGAAUUCAUGAUGCCAUCACUAUCCAGCUACAAAGCACUAAUAAACCAUCUCCAUAUGUUACGGCAUAUCCAACAUGCCAAUGGUGUGCUGCCAGUAUGCUUGACUUUACUCUCAUCUGAACACAACACACAAUAGUGAAUGUAGUUCCACCCACCAGGAAGCUGAUGUCUGCCUCAGGAUGCAGUUGCAGAAGCUCAGGAAAAUUUCCUUUUAUCAGCUCACAGCAAUGACACAGCAUUUAUCUUCAUGCACCAAUUCAACCAUACCCAAGUACAAUUUUUUCCCUGAGCAACCUCAUCCUUUUUCCUUAGAAUCUCAGGCAGAUCCAGCUUAUCAGACUGUGUCAACCAACUGAUCUGUUCAGUUGAUAUUAUUGAUAUACUGUAUUUCAACUUUUCACUUGGGUCAAUACUUCUGACAGUAGUCACAGCAAAAAAAGAAAUGUUUCAUAAUUUUGUAAAAUCCAAAUAAGCUUUACGGAUCUUUAUUGGAAACAAUGUUUAAACAAUGUUUUUCAUGCUUGUUCAAUGAACCGUAAACAAUUAUUGCACAUGCACCUGUGGAACAGUCCUUAAGAACAGUCCCCCCGUUCAGGGACUCGUUAUUCCAUUUCUGUUCAUCAAAUGACUGUGAAAGUUGUUCAGUUUAUGUCUCAGUUGUUGAAUCUUAUUUAUUAUGUUAAUACAAAUAUUUACACAUGUUAAGGCUGUUUCUUUUUUGCUUUUUUAUAUGUACACACACACAUAUAUGCUGUGCCUGCUCUUAUAGGCAGCCCGGCCCUACCAGUUUCUAACGCAAUAGUGAACGAAGGCUCUUGAUGCAUUUCAUUAUGUAUAAGAGUUCAUCUGCUGUAGGUGUGUUGUUCUACCACUGCAGCAGGUCCUCCUUAAACUGGUAUACGCUUUGAAAAAAUUCUAAACUACAUAGUGUGAAAAGGUUGGUGACCCUACACAGUAAUUAAACCAUGGUCAUGGUGGUGAUGACCCAAUAACUUAACCACUGCUCAACAGGCUUAGCUGAACUCUGAAUUGCUGAGAAACUCCUGGUGACAGAGAUAGGGGGACAAAACAGAAAAAAAUCUUUCCUUCAGAAAUAUUCAUGAAAAGGGAAAAGAGAGAUUUAAAAAAAAAAUCUAACUGUAAAACAGAUGAUUGUUAAGUAAAAAAAAAAAAGUAAAACAAACAAACAAACAAACUAGCAAAAAACGGCAGAAAGUCACCAGGCAAAAUUCAGGCACAAAAGAUCCAAAGAGGCCAAAAAUAUUCAGGCCACUAAAAAAAAUAGACAGAAUGUCUCCAUCUAAUGAUCAGAGUCUACAUUGUCCAAAAUCCUAACACAGCAGCAUCUCUUAACUAUGAACAGGAAACAACUCUGUAACCAUCAUCCAUUCAUUGGUUUCUCUCCUUAACUUUUUUUUUAGCUUCAUGUGGGUUUGUUUUCAGUGUUUGUACUUUUUAAUUUUGUUUUCCUUUGUUAGUAUAAAAAGAAAAAAACUGUGAAUGAUUGUUGCUGU